rnacentral:lncRNA from 10 species
CCAUCUUACGCCCGUCGCCCUGAGUACGUUAGCGGAAAUGGCUCCGAGAGGCUUUGACGCAUGUGUACCUUUUUAGUGGCGGUAUCUCGGCCGGGGAUUUUCGGGCUCCAGUGGAGGUGGCUAUGCUCACCCCAUCUCCCUUGAGAGGCACAGAAGGGUCAGGUUGGCCAUCCGCAGGCGUAGUUGCUAGGAAGGUUUGACAGAUGUCCGCCUGUUGAUUCAGACGUUCCCAGGAUUUGGAGCAAGAAGAGCAAGGAAGGCCAGGCGCGGUGGCUCACGUUUGUAAUCCCAGCACUUUGGGAGGCCGAGGCGGGCGGAUCACGAGGUCAGGAGUUCGAGACCAGCCUGGCCAGCAUGGUGAAACCCCGUCUCUACUAAAAAUACAAAAGAAAAUUAGCCGGGUGUGGUGGCACAUGCCUGUAGUCCCACCUACUUGGGAGGCUGAGGCAGGAGAAUUGUUUGACCUGGCAGGCGGAGGUUGCAGUGAGCCGAGAUUGCGCCACUGCACUCCAGUCUGGGCGACAGAGCGAGACUCUGUCUCAGAAAAAAAAAAGAGCAAGGAGGUGUUGAAAAUGGGUUUCCUGGCUGGGCGUGGUGGCUCACGCUUGUAAUCCCAGCACUUUGGGAAGCUGAGGUGGGCGGAUCACUUGAGGUCAGGAGUUUGAGACCAGCCUGGCCAACAUGGUGAAACACCGUCUCCACUAAAAAUAGAAAAAUUAACUGGGUGUGGUGGAGGGCGCCUGUAAUCCCAGCUAAUCAGGAAGCUGAGACAGGAGGAUCGCUUGAACCCAGGAGGCGGAGGUUGCAGUGAGCCGAGAUUGCUCCAUUGCACUCCAGCCUGGGCGAUAGAGUGAGACUCAGCCUCAAAAAAAAAAAAAAAAAAAAAUUCGCCAGGUGUGGUGGUGUGCGCCUAUAAUCCCAGCUACUCAGGAGGCAGAGGCACAAGAAUGGCUUGAAUCACUUGAACCUGGGAGGCAGAGGUUACAAUGAGCCGAGAUGGCACCACUGCACUCCAGCCUGGGCGACAGAGCGAGACUCCGACUUCCCAUCUUAAAAAAAAAAAAAAAAAAAAAAAAGAAGUGUAAAGAUGUGAUUAUGUGGCAGGGGGUAAGGGUUAAAAAGAAAACAAGAACAAGUUUUCCUCUGCUUAGCCAGCUUACUUCAAGGACAGUUAUAACACUGAAAAGUCGAGGCCAAAGGAAUGGGCUCCAGACAGCCUCCUCCGGAGCAAAGUUGAAAAGAAAAAUUCCUUUACUGUCUCUCCUUUUCUGAACCAUUAAAUAUGACUGUUUGCCAAUGGUUGUAUUUAGUAAGAUUUGUAGACUCUGUUUUUCUUUUGACACAGCUGCAAGGCCAACAGCUGUGCAAAGCCACAAGUUAUGCUAAGUCAGCAGUUAUGCUAUAGAUUACAUGACCUGUGACUGUAUCAUUAACUGCUUUUGUUUUGCUUCUGUAAGUUUGCCUAUAAAAACCACACUCAGUCUUUGUUCAAUGGUCAGCUUUUCAGAUACAAAUCCACUGAGCCGGUGUACAUCUAAAUAAAUCCUCCUG